UACGGGGGGAGCAAGCGUUGUUCGGAUUUACUGGGCGUAAAGGGCGCGUAGGCGGCGUGACAAGUCACUUGUGAAAUCUCCGGGCUUAACUCGGAACGGUCAAGUGAUACUGUCGUGCUAGAGUACAGAAGGGGCAACUGGAAUUCUCGGUGUAGCGGUGAAAUGCGUAGAUAUCGAGAGGAACACCUGCGGCGAAGGCGGGUUGCUAGGCUGACACUGACGCUGAGGCGCGAAAGCUAGGGGAGCGAACGGG
rnacentral:rRNA from 1 species